rnacentral:rRNA from 1 species
CGGAUGCGAUCAUACCAGCACUGAAGCACCGGAUCCCAUCAGAACUCCGAAGUUAAGCGUGCUUGGGCGAGAGUAGUACUAGGAUGGGUGACCUCCUGGGAAGUCCUCGUGUUGCAUCCCUC